rnacentral:rRNA from 1 species
GAUGAACGCUGGCGGCGUGCUUAACACAUGCAAGUCGAACGAAGCACUUUAUUUGAUUUCCUUCGGGACUGAUUAUUUUGUGACUGAGUGGCGGACGGGUGAGUAACGCGUGGGUAACCUGCCUUGUACAGGGGGAUAACAGUUGGAAACGGCUGCUAAUACCGCAUAAGCGCACGGCAUCGCAUGAUGCAGUGUGAAAAACUCCGGUGGUAUAAGAUGGACCCGCGUUGGAUUAGCUAGUUGGUGAGGUAACGGCCCACCAAGGCGACGAUCCAUAGCCGACCUGAGAGGGUGGCCGGCCACAUUGGGACUGAGACGCGGCCCAAACUCCUACGGGAGGCAGCAGUGGGGAAUAUUGCACAAUGGGCGAAAGCCUGAUGCAGCGACGCCGCGUGAGCGAAGAAGUAUUUCAGUAUGUAAAGCUCUAUCAGCAGGGAAGAUAAUGACGGUACCUGACUAAGAAGCACCGGCUAAAUACGUG